rnacentral:rRNA from 1 species
UACGAAGGGGGCUAGCGUUGCUCGGAAUUACUGGGCGUAAAGCGCACGUAGGCGGAUUGCUAAGUCAGGGGUGAAAUCCUGGAGCUCAACUCCAGAACUGCCUUUGAUACUGGCGAUCUUGAGUUCGGGAGAGGUGAGUGGAACUGCGAGUGUAGAGGUGAAAUUCGUAGAUAUUCGCAAGAACACCAGUGGCGAAGGCGGCUCACUGGCCCGAUACUGACGCUGAGGCACGGAAAGCGUGGGGAGCAAACAGG